rnacentral:rRNA from 1 species
GUGGGGAAUCUUAGACAAUGGGCGCAAGCCUGAUCUAGCCAUGCCGCGUGAGCGAUGAAGGCCUUAGGGUUGUAAAGCUCUUUCAGCUGGGAAGAUAAUGACGGUACCAGCAGAAGAAGCCCCGGCUAACUCCGUGCCAGCAGCCGCGGUAAUACGGAGGGGGCUAGCGUUGUUCGGAAUUACUGGGCGUAAAGCGCACGUAGGCGGAUCAGAAAGUCAGAGGUGAAAUCCCAGGGCUCAACCUUGGAACUGCCUUUGAAACUCCUGGUCUUGAGGUCGAGAGAGGUGAUUGGAAUUCCGAGUGUAGAGGUGAAAUUCGUAGAUAUUCGGAGGAACACCAGUGGCGAAGGCGGCUCACUGGCUCGAUACUGACGCUGAGGUGCGAAAGCGUGGGGAGCAAACAGGAUUAGAUACCCGAGUAGUCC